UGCCAGACUCCUACGGGAGGCAGCAGUGGGGAAUAUUGCGCAAUGGGCGAAAGCCUGACGCAGCGACGCCGCGUGAGGGAUGAAGGUCUUCGGAUCGUAAACCUCUGUCAGCAGGGAAGAACGGUCACUGUGCUAAUCAGCAGUGAAUUGACGGUACCUGCAAAGGAAGCACCGGCUAACUCCGUGCCAGCAGCCGCGGUAAUACGGAGGAUCCGAGCGUUAUCCGGAUUCAUUGGGUUUAAAGGGUGCGUAGGUUGUUUUAUAAGUUAGCGGUGAAAUACCGAUGCUCAACAUCGGGGCUGCCGCUAAUACUGUAGGACUAGAGAUCGGAUGCAGCAGGCGGAAUGUGUAGUGUAGCGGUGAAAUGCAUAGAUAUUACACAGAACACCGAUUGCGAAGGCAGCUUGCUAGGCCGGAUCUGACACUGAUGCACGAAAGCGUGGGGAUCGAACAGGAUUAGAUACCCCAGUA
rnacentral:rRNA from 1 species